UGCAUUCCACUUUCAAGCACC
rnacentral:piRNA from 1 species